GAUGAACGCUGGCGGCGUGCCUAAUACAUGCAAGUCGAGCGAACAGACGAGGAGCUUGCUCCUUCGACGUUAGCGGCGGACGGGUGAGUAACACGUAGGUAACCUACCUAUAAGACUGGGAUAACUUCGGGAAACCGGAGCUAAUACCGGAUAAUAUUUCGAACCGCAUGGUUCGAUAGUGAAAGAUGGCUUUGCUAUCACUUAUAGAUGGACCUGCGCCGUAUUAGCUAGUUGGUAAGGUAACGGCUUACCAAGGCAACGAUACGUAGCCGACCUGAGAGGGUGAUCGGCCACACUGGAACUGAGACACGGUCCAGACUCCUACGGGAGGCAGCAGUAGGGAAUCUUCCGCAAUGGGCGAAAGCCUGACGGAGCAACGCCGCGUGAGUGAUGAAGGUCUUCGGAUCGUAAAACUCUGUUAUUAGGAGAGAACAAACGUGUAAGUAACUGUGCACGUCUUGACGGUACCUAAUCAGAAAGCCACGGCUAACUACGUG
rnacentral:rRNA from 1 species